GACGAACCGAGCGAACGUUGUUCGGAAUCACUGGGCUUAAAGGGCGCGUAGGCGGACCGGAAAGUCAGGGGUGAAAGCCUCCAGCCCAACUGGAGAAGCGUCUUUGAUACUGCCGGUCUCGAAGGGUGCAGGGGCAUGCGGAACUCAGGGUGGAGCGGUGAAAUGCUUAGAUAUGACAUAGAACACCGAUAGCGGAGGCAGCUUGCUACACAGUCAUUGACACUGAGGCACGAAAGCGUGGGGAUCAAACAGG
rnacentral:rRNA from 1 species